GCCUAGUUAGCUUAGUUGGUAGUGCGUCUGCCCUGUAAGCGCUAGGCCGCGGGUUCGAUUCCCGCCCGGGGCG
rfam:Asian citrus Psyllid, Diaphorina citri - Florida Strain, whole genome shotgun sequence.